rnacentral:misc_RNA from 1 species
GAUGAAGAACGCAGCGAAAUGCGAUAAGUAAUGUGAAUUGCAGAAUUCAGUGAAUCAUCGAAUCUUUGAACGCACAUUGCGCCCGCUAGUAUUCUGGCGGGCAUGCCUGUUCGAGCGUCAUUUCAACCAUCAAGCCCUGCUUGUGUUGGGGUCCUGCGGCUGCCCGCAGGCCCUGAAAACCAGUGGCGGGCUCGCUAGUCACACCGAGCGCAGUAGCACAUCUCGCUCAGGGCGUGCGGCGGGUUCUUGCCGUAAAACACCCCCUUUUUACCAAGGUUGACCUCGGAUCAGGUAGGAAUACCCGCUGAACUUAAGCAUAUCAAUAAGCGAGGA